rnacentral:rRNA from 1 species
CCGAGUGGUGUGGAUGUUUAUUGGGCCUAAAGCAUCCGUAGCUGGCUGGGCAAGUCCCCUGUUAAAUCCACCGAAUUAAUCGUUGGAGUGCGGGGGAUACUGUUCGGCUUGGGGACGGGAGAGGCCGACGGUAUUUCCGGGGUAGGGGUGAAAUCUUGUAAUCCCGGGAGGACCACCAGUGGCGAAGGCUGUCGGC